UUGUUCUCGUAAUGAAUUACUCUCAGGUUCUGUGUUGGAGCUGAUUAAUGAGUUGGUGGCUUUUUAUAGCAGCUGCUAACAGAGAGCAGGAAUAUUCUCCACACGGACUGAUCACAGGCUCAUCAGUUAUUAUGAGAAACUGAAGGGUUUUUUUCCCUCCACCUGACACAAGUUCUCCCUUAAUAUCUACACCAUAAUUGUGUUGCAUCAGCAGCGUAGAACUAAGAGAUCGGACUGUUUAUUAGAACUGUUCAUGGUUUAUUUUCAUGGAGAAGAAGGUCAGUGUGAGGAAUCUGAGAUUAAAGAGCGUGUGAGCGCUGCUGCUGCGACGCUCGUCUGAAAUCCACCAACAGGACGACGGCAAACUCACGGCACCGCUACAGGUACAGCAGAGAACAUGGAGAAAGCGUGCUGAUGGACCUCCAGCUCAGUGAGGAGAGAGAGAGAGUGUGUGUGUGAGAGUGAGUGAGUGUGAGAGUGAGUGAGUGAGUGUGUGAGUGUGUGUGAGUGUGUGAGUGUGUAUUUUGUGCAGGAGCUGAUUUCCAUGGCGCUGAUCGCUGACCUGAGCAGAACAUAGUGGUGGAGUGUAAUCGCAGGUCUCUCGUUAGAGGAUCUUCAGCGUAUAAUCCGACACUCUGUUACACUCACACACACUUCACUGUACAGGACCUCAUCCAGCGUGAUGAGGAAACACCUUCAAUAAGCACACACGGUAAAGCCGGGUUUAUUCGGAGCUGUAGAGCGGUUCUCCGUCACUCCAGUACAGUUCCACAGAGGAUCAGAACCUGUGCUGAAGAACACUGAAGCUGCUGUGGUGGGGGUUUCCCUUUAAUUUGGCAUCCAUCUGUGUGUUUACAGUGAAACACGAAUGAAGCACAAAACUGCGUAUAAAAACGAAAGGUUCUGAUCUUAACGUUCCGGUGAGUCUAGAACCCGGAGGUCCUGCUGAGCCGCGCUGCAGUGCUGAAUAGGAUCUGGGUUAAAGUCCCGGAGUUGAUUAUUUUCCUGUGACUGCAUGUCUCCAGACGGUAUUGAGGGGAGAAAUAAAGGAAGAGCAGCAGAACUGGACCGAGGAUACGGAGAUUACAGGAGGUUUGUCCCGGAUGACACAACACAAAGACAUACAGAAAUAUAAAGAGAGAGAAGGUAAAGUGUGUAAAAACUUCAAAACAUUACACUUUCACAUUCAAUUACAUCAACAACAUCAUUUUAUAUAUUUAUAUUUAUAUAUAUAUAGUUUUAUUUUUUACGUGUACAAACUCGUUUAUCUAACUUUAGGACUCGACCGCACUGAGCAGUCCUGGGAUUUGAGCUCACAAGCAUCUGAUCACUGAGUCACUGCGGCUUAAUCUAAACCAGAGAGAAGAAGAAAGUGUUAAUAAAACGACAUCCUAUAGGGGGAGCAUUUACAGGUUUUCAUGAACAUGCGGUAAUAUUUGGGUGAUAUCUCUUGAGCUCAGUAACCUCAUGCUCUUUCAUCACCGUUCCUGUAGCUCAGGGGCACAUCUCUGUUCUGCUGAUGCGGUUCUCCGCUCUGCUCAACACCAUCUUCACGCCCGGGUUUGCAGCACAAUGAUAUUCCUAGAAUGAAGGACAUCACCAACACUAUACCAAAACCUGCAAACUGAAAAAAAAUGAACAAUAACUAGUGAAAUAAAUAAAUCAUUCAUAACAUCGGUAUUAUAAGUUUCGAAAAUGAAUUUAAACUACAAGUGAAAUCCGUUUGCCAAACAGCGUGUAGAACUCCGGGACGGUUCCGGAACGACGCGCUCCGGACGCAUGAGAUGAAGAUGAACUUGGAGCAGAAUGAUGGGAAGAGAAGCGUAUGGAGAAAGAAAGGAACUGCUGAUGAUCUGAAGCGAACCACCUGAUCUUAUGAUACGUGCUUCAGAACUCGCUGGGCGGAGCUUCACAAUGCAGAUGGACAAUGAGCUGAAGUUUACUUCAAAAGCAACCCAAGACAUUUUAAGGCAGAGAAAUGAGAUGUUCUGUAAAAGCCAGUAAGCUGAGCUGAAUCCAACUGAACUGCAUUUCACUCGCUGAAGACAAAACGCCCCAAGAACCAGCAGGAAGUGAAGACAGGGACGGAACCCAGAGUCUGGUGAGGGGUUUGAGUUCAGUGACUGCAAAGAUUUCAAUCCAAAGAUUAAAAAUAACUAUUUAAUCAAUGAUUCUGUUAAUUAAAGCUAAAAGUCUGCACUCUUUGACCUCAACUCCACUGAACAUCUUUGGGUUGAACUGGAACUGGAGUCUCCUUACCCAACAUCAGCGCCUACACUCAACCUCACUAACGCUCUCGUAGCUGAACGAACACAACCCCCACGGCCACGCCCCAAAAUCUAAUGGAAAGCCUUCCCAGAAGAGUGGAGCGCAUUAUAACAGCGAAGGGGAACAAGUCCAUAUUGAUGGGUUUGGAAUGAGAUGUUCAGCAUACACGUGUGGGUGUGGAGGUCAGGUGUCCACAUUCUUUUGGCGUUAUAGUGUAUUUAAUUCCUAACACACACCAAAGACUGACUCUGUGUGAAGAUGUUAUUGUAUAAUAUUUCAUCCAAUAAGAACACACAGGAACACACAUUUUAACUAAUGUGUGUGUGUGUGUAUACACACAGGUAAAGUAAAAAAUACAGGUAAAGAAUCACGAAAACUUUUUUAUGCAUGUUUUUAUUAAAAACAAAAAAAACAUAUCAUCUUUGCUGUGUGUGAAGUUCAGAGCUCACCUGAGAUAUGGUGAUACACCUCUCAG